CACUACCCUAAAACCCAAAACUAAACUAGACCUAUACAUAUUACCCUAAUGUUCAGCCGGCACUACACUUGGAGAUGAACAAAAAACUUAGACAAUAAAAUGAGACCUAGCCUGGACCUCUGUUCUUCUUCUUCUUCGUGGAGGAAGCAACAAACAACCUUAGACUCCUAGAAGAAAAGGAGACCCCUUCCCAUCCAAAAAAAAAAAAAAGAAAAAUGACAAAACCAGCAACUUCCCACUGCCCAAAAUAGUUCGCCGGAACCAUACAGUACCGUCGUCCAGCGACCAGCCCUCACCUUUCCGUCGACCAUCAAGCCGCCACGAGCACCUCCUUCAACCACUCGUCUUCCUCACGUUGCUGCCCGCCACCAGCUUUGUCGUCCAGUCCGUCCAUCUGAGCAGCAACAUCCACCAUUUCCGUUCAGCUUGAGCAGCAACGUCAACUAUCCACCGUUGCUGCUUCACCCUUCCUCCUCACGUGAACCAGCCCAAAAAAUAGCUGUAAAAAUGGUCCAAAACGCUGCUAUUUCCAGCUCAUAAACUAGCCCCUUUUGCCCAUGGAAUUGUUGAGUUGUCCCACAUCGGAGGGAUUUGAGAUCCUUGGUCUCCUUAUAUGGCUUGGGCGCCUUCACCCAAAAAGUUCAACUCCGAUCGAAAUGGGACUCAGGCUAUGUGCCUUCGACUUCAAAUAUUACAAAAGUUCAACUACGGUUGAACGACAAUUCAGGUUACACGCCUUCAAAAAUUACAAAAGUUCAACUACGGUUGAUCGACAACUUAGGUUAUGCGCCUUCAAAUAUUACAAAGAUUCUUAAAUAGCUCUAAAACAAUCUGGGCGCGAGGGGGGUGUUGAGUUGUCCCACAUCGGAGGGAUUUGAGGUCCUUGGUCUCCUUAUAUGGCUUGAGCAAUACUCACCUCAUAAGCUAGCUUUUGGGGUUGAGUUAGGCUCAAGGUCCAUUCUUUUCAUCAUGCUCAAAACUAGCUGUAGCAACACCAUAAGGCAACCUUUAAAUCAUCGUUGUUGUUCGAGUUCCAUUCGAGGUUGCCGAGCUCGGCGCGGUUUCGAUUCGGAAGCUUUUGCUCAUGUUCUAGCGUUGGACAUCGUCUUCUUCAUUCUAGUUCCUGUUGACGCUUUAAUCUGUCCAGUUGCUGUUCAUUAAAG
rnacentral:lncRNA from 1 species